UACGAAGGGUGCAAGCGUUACUCGGAAUUACUGGGCGUAAAGCGUGCGUAGGUGGUUCGUUAAGUCUGCCGUGAAAGCCCCGGGCUCAACCUGGGAACUGGCGGUGGAUACUGGCGGACUAGAGUGCGGUAGAGGGUGGUGGAAUUCCCGGUGUAGCAGUGAAAUGCGUAGAGAUCGGGAGGAACAUCUGUGGCGGAAGGCGGCCACCUGGACCAGCACUGACACUGAGGCACGAAAGCGUGGGGAGCAAACAGG
rnacentral:rRNA from 1 species